rnacentral:sRNA from 1 species
GAGGGGUCCUAGGCGGGCAGGACAGUCGGACCGAACCGCCGGGCUGGUGCCGCGAGCCUAGGCUGUCACCUUCGUCCCGCCUCAGGCGAGGGGUUCAGCGCCUGCCCCGAAGAUAACACAGGGGUCCCCUUCUGUCCCGGCGGCCCGCGAGAGCCAAGGCUGCAGGCUGGAGUGCAAUGGCGCGAUCUUCACUCACUGCAGCCUCCGCCUCCCAGGUUCAAGCGAUUCUCCUGCCUCAGCCUCCCAAGUAGCUGGGAUUACAGUCCCCCAUUUGUGCUUCCUGUUUGGUGUACCUCUCUGGAAGCCAGCAGCAUGGAGCCCAUUACAUUCCACAGAGGGCCUCAGGUACCCCCUCUGGGAGGCCUGCAGCCUGUCACAGCAUGCUGAGCCAAAGCCACCUGCCCAGGUUCCCAAAUCUUGGAAGCACUGGAUCAUGGAACCAUAGAAUCUCGGUGAUAUGAAAUCCAGACUUGGAGGUGGCCUUAGGGGUCACAAUCCAAACCUUCAUCCAGCCCAGGCAGCCCCUCUGCAGGCUCCGUGAACACUCUGGCAACUGGGGAGUCAUCUGUAGCCCCCUCAGCUUCCACUACUAAGCCAUCUGCUCCAGGGCACUGGGGGAUCCUGCAGGGGUUUUCUGCUUGAAGAGCCACUUCCUGUUUGGGGCUGAGCACUUCCUUCAGCUCUCCCAGUGAAGUGAUAUCACUGCCUCUGUGGACAAGACACCUCCAGGAGCCCAGCUCACAGCCACCGGUACCUUCUUCCAGUUAUAGAGAUGCUACAGCUGGCAUUGACGUGGAAGGUGAUAGAAACGUGAACAGGCCCGCCCUGUGGGGCUGCAACCAUGGAGAGUCUGGACUUUAGAGUCAACAGCCCUGGGUUCAAAUCCUCCCUCCUCCAUGAUUAGCUGUUUGGCCUUGGGUGAAUUACCUAACCUCUUGGGUGCAGGUGCACACGUGUGUGUGUAUGUGUGUGUGUGUGUAUUUAAUACACUUUUUCAAAAGCAGUUUUAGGUUUACAGUAAAAUUGAUUGGAAAGUACAGAGAGUUUCCAUAUACCCUCCUCUGCCUUUCCCCUCCCCAUAGUCUGGCUUAUUCUUUACAUCUUAUAUUAAUAUGGUACAUUUAUUACAACUGAUGAACUAAUAUUGGUUAAUUAUGAUUGACUAAAGUCCAUGUUUGCGCUAUA